rnacentral:rRNA from 1 species
UACGUAGGCAGCGAGCGUUGUUCGGAGUUACUGGGCGUAAAGCGUGCGUAGCGGUGCCAUAAGUCUGUUGUGAAAUCUCCCGGCUUAACUGGGAGGGUGCGGUGGAAACUGUGGUGCUGGAGUGUGGGAGAGGUAGGCGGAAUUCCUGGUGUAGCGGUGGAAUGCGUAGAGAUCCGGAAGAACACCGGUGGCGAAGGCGGCCUGCUGGGCAGUGGCUGACGCUGAGGCGCGACAGCGUGGGGAGCAAACAGG